GGGGCAAUCAGUGAGCUGUCGAGGAUAUAAAUAAGUCAUAUUCGUCUGAGUAGUCAAUGCAGGAUGCCAACGAAAACGAUGGGCAGAAAAUAUCUUGCCUUUGUCCUGCUGAGCCUCGUCGCUGCCACCUACAGUUACGAGGCGACAAGACUUGAAGACGUCAUUGCCGAGUAUGACUUCAGGGUAUUCAAGGACCUGUUUGUCAACACCACGAGGCAUUUAAUGACAGCAAUCGACAACAUAGAAAAUUCCACAGCUAAAUCAGACUUGCUCAUUGAUUUAAAGGAAGCUGUCAAGGACAUGACUCAGUCGCUGGCCACACUCAGCCAGGAGACCACGUCCGUCAAGGAGUUGGUCAACAGCGGUGCCAACAACACAAAAAAUGCGCUGCAAGAUUUCAAAGAGCAGAUGAUGACCAGACUGUCAACCCUGCAGGAUUUCGUAGGAGAGAAGACGAAAGAAAUGGAAGGGACAGUGUCUAAACUCAGCGACUUGUCCAGUAAUAUUCUCGCUGCAGAUUGCCAGGACCUGUAUGACCUGGGAUCUAAUGCGUCUGGGGUGUACUUCCUGCAGAAGUUUGGUCGUCAGGUGCUGUGUGACAUGGAAACUGACCAAGGAGGUUGGCUGGUCAUUCAAAGAAGAGCUCGAGUUCCAGAACAGGUGGACUUCAACCAGGGCUGGCAAGAAUACAAAACAGGCUUUGGUGACCUAGAGUCGGAAUUUUGGGCUGGCAAUGAUUUCCUCCACAUUCUGACCAAUCAAAAGAGUUACCGAAUGAAAGUAGAUAUGGAGGAUUACGAGAAGGGCAACUAUUGGGCACAGUACAGUUCCUUCCGAGUCGGAAGUGAGGGAACAGGAUACGAACUGGACAUCGGAGAUUACACGGGCAAUGCCACGGACGCCUUCACCUACCACCACGGGCGACCAUUCACUGCGAACGACCGCGAUAACGACCUCUAUGACGACGGGAACUGUGCAACGUACUUCUCAGGAGGAUGGUGGUACGACAGGAUGUUAAUUAAGGUGUUGAUAUGGUUUUCCAGUCGCGUAUUAUCUUUUCGUGUGGACAGGAGUGCUUUCACAAAUACAGGCCAAGGAAAGCUUGUUAGAGUUGGAAGAUCGACGCAUCCGUGAAGCAAGACAAUUUGGAAACAACACAUUACCGUGCGCAGACAACGGAUGCAUUAGCAACAGGGGAAGAUGCGGCCCCUACUGGUCAUUGGGUUGUCUGUCCAGGAACUCGGAUCUCUGCACUGGAUUUUGCACCUGUUGUGUCCCUUGCGGAGGGGAAUGCGGCUCAAAUGACGAAGGGCUGUGUAGGGCGUCAUGCGCUUGGGACGAGUACAGUAUCGAUGCAAACGGCAUGUGCGGGAAUGCUGGAUGCCGAUGCUGUGCAAAGAAUCCAGAUUGUGGCGGAAGUUGUGGUGCAAAUGACACCUACUACUGUCGGAGAUGGUACACCUGUCCUUUCUGGCUUUCGGUAACCGGAACCUGUAACGGAAGCUCCUGUCGGUGCUGCCGAAUUUGAGUGUGAACCUUGGCGACCCAGCAACUGAAAAAUCGCCUCAUGUAAAGUCUAACCUCAAACGAAAAAUUGUCACUUCAACUUCAUGAUUAGCCUACUAUGAUUUUCUUUGAUUUUGUCUGUAAAAGUACGUCACUUGUGGCCAUUAUUCCUUGUUACACGUAUAUCCUACCUGGAUGAAAUAGAGUUUUUGUCAUUGGUGCAAGAAUUUCAAUUAUAUUGCUGCUGCCAUAAAAAGGAAACAACAGCUGUAAUUAUUUCACGGUUUUGUCCAACGCAAAGAUCAAGAAUGAUUUAGAAAGAAAUUUCUCAGAUGUGAAAUUAAAAGUAUCUUUAAGGUGUUACUAAAUGACAAGGAAAAGGGAAUUGUGGAACUAAAGCUCUGGAACCGUAUCAUCCUGAUUAAGAGAAUAUCCUGAACGAAUCACCUAUUCCGAAACAUAUUCUUUUUCAAUAAGAAACAGUAAAAUGAAAAAUUAGUCAACAAAUCAAGUCAAAAGGAUUAGCGGGACAGUUGUGUAAUGCAAUACGUCCUAAAACUGUUCGAAAUGAAAGAUCUGAGGUGGCACAAUGAAACGAGAAAGACAUCUAAACGACCGAAAUAUAUUAUUUCUGCAACAAGGAAGUCAUUUUAGACUUGCAACAAUAAUUCUUAUUACACUUAGAAUGUUCUGGAAAACAUACCACCCUGUUUUCUCUAUAACGAACUAUUACCACUUUGUUAGUGACUGCCCACAGCUACAUUUUAUGGUCAUUAUACACAAUAUUAAUUCUAAUUCUCUAGAUUUCCUUUUGUUACUGCUACAAUAAUAAAAACCUGCUGUAAAAGAAAGAAAGAAAAAAAAGGCAAAAAUCAAUUUGAGCUU